GCAGUCGUACGAGAAAGUUUUCUUCGGAAAACGAGUAGAGUGGCGCACGGGCUGACUAACGCGUAGGUAAUCUACCCUUAUAUUUGGGAUAACAUCGGGUAAACUGGUGCUAAUACCGAAUACACUUCUUUGCUGCGGGGCGAAGAAGGAAAGGUGGCCUCUUCAUGAAAGCUACCGUAUAGGGAUGAGCCUGCGUACCAUUAGCUAGUAGGUAGGGUAACGGCCUACCUAGGCAACGAUGGUUAGCGGGUCUGAGAGGAUGAUCCGCCACACUGGAACUGGAACACGGACCAGACUCCUACGGGAGGCAGCAGUGAGGAAUAUUGCGCAAUGGGGGAAACCCUGACGCAGCGACGCCGCGUGAGUGAGGAAGGUCUUCGGAUCGUAAAGCUCUGUCAGAAGGGAAGAAGUGUUAUGUAGUUAAUACCUGCAUAAUUUGACGGUACCUUCAGAGGAAGCACCGGCUAACUCCGUGCCAGCAGCCGCGGUAAUACGGAGGGUGCGAGCGUUGUUCGGAAUUACUGGGCGUAAAGGGCGCGUAGGCGGCUGGAUAUGUCAGAUGUGAAAGCCCACGGCUCAACCGUGGAAGUGCAUUUGAAACUGUCCGGCUUGAGUAUCGGAGGGGAGUGUGGAAUUCCCGGUGUAGAGGUGAAAUUCGUAGAGAUCGGGAGGAACACCGGUGGCGAAGGCGACACUCUGGACGAAUACUGACGCUGAGGCGCGAAAGCGUGGGGGAGCAAACAGGAUUAGAUACC
rnacentral:rRNA from 1 species